rnacentral:rRNA from 1 species
GACAGAGGGUGCAAACGUUGUUCGGAAUUACUGGGCGUAAAGCGCGUGUAGGCGGCUAUGUAAGUCGGGCGUGAAAUCCCACGGCUCAACCGUGGAAGUGCACCCGAAACUGCGUAGCUAGAGUCCUGGAGAGGAAGGUGGAAUGCUUGGUGUAGAGGUGAAAUUCGUAGAUAUCAAGCAGAACACCGGUGGCGAAGGCGGCCUUCUGGACAGUGACUGACGCUGAGACGCGAAAGCGUGGGGAGCAAACAGG